AACAAUGGACCAAAUUAUCUUGCACAUGUUGAUGGGUACUACAAGUUGAAGCCAUUUGGCUUCGCUAUACAUGGUGCAAUGUGUGGAUUUUCAAGACGAAUACUAUGGCUUAAAGUUGAAAGAACAAACAAUGACUCCUUUGUUGUAGCAUCAUAUUUCUUGAAAUUCCUGGAGGAAAUAAAUAGUGCUCCAAGGUGUGAGACUUGAUGCUGGAACUGAGAAUAUAUACAUUGAGGACAUUCAAAAAUCCUUCCGUUGGUACGAUAAUGAUGACAUGUGUGGAGAAAAGAGUGUAAUCAAAGGAAGAUCAAUGUCUAACCAGAGAAUUGAACGCUGGUGGAGAACACUGAGAGAGAUGGGCAUCUCCUUCUGGAUACACUUGUUCAAAAACAUGAAAGACCAAGGGAUGUUCUCAUCAGCAAAUAAAGAGCACAUGUGCAGUAGAUUAUAAAUUUCCAGUGGAUAUUCAUGACGUGCUAGAGUUUCAAAGAUUAUUUCCUAGUCCAAGCUCGACAGGACGUGUGAGGACAAUGCAGCAUACUUUGAUCAUUUGCUUUUGGAGGGUGGGAGAACUGUUCCAAACACCACUGAGAAGGCCAUGGAGGCUUUGAAGUACUUGGUUGGAAAGUUGUAAAAUCCAAAUUAAGAUUAGAGAAU